UGCCACAGCCAUAUCACCCUGCAGCCUAAGACCGGUUACUCACUGAAGCUAAGCAGGGCUGAGCCUGGUCAGUACCUGGAUGGGAGACCACUAGGGAACACUAGGAUGCUGUUGGAA
rfam:Danio rerio chromosome 14, GRCz11 reference primary assembly.